UUUGCACAAUACACUGAGAGAAACUUGGCCGCUGCUCGUGCUGCUCUAAUCUGUUUUUCCUCUUGAAGAGCUCGCAGCAGGACGGCUGCCUAUGGAGCAAUUAAAGCCUCUUUCUUAAUCCAGCCGCCCCUGAUGCUUAAAGACCGCAAACAACUGGAACUCCUCUUCUUCCUCCUCCUCCUCCUCCUCCACCACCUCCUCCUUCUCCUCCACCGCGCUAGACAGCAAGUGCAACAGUAGCAUACUCACCCCCAGUUUCUUACUCCGUAUCCUCACGUAUCCCUGUUUGACUAUGUCGUUGAAGUUGGAAGCCAUGGUGAGGGGAAGCGGGUAGCUUCCUGCCCGAGGUAGCGAAAUGUUUUACUUGAGGGUCGGUCGGUGAGACAUCCAGCAGCAGGAGAGCGGGCGGUGGGCAACCUGCUCCUGUGUCAGCGCUCAGGCUGCCCGGCUUCAGCGGCGCAAUCUAUCCGCGAGAGGAGGGAGAUACCAUUCAGCUGAUACACUUCAGCCGGAGAGGAUAGCAAAGGAGGAGAGGACAGAAGAGGCGCGCUUCCUGGACCACACCAUCCCCGAAACUCCCUCCACUGUGACGGUCAACCACAGACAGUUGCUACAGAAGACCAGACAUGAAGCUAGUAGGGAUUCUUGCUAAAGGACUCCACAGCAAAGCAGAUGCUAAAUGUCAAGGGGGUGUAAUCUAGGGUCUUGAUCUCACAGUGCCACCCUACAGCCCCUCAUCCUGAAGCUCUCUUAACACUAUGUAAUUAUACAUUCAUCAACACGUGGUGCUGUGUCUCUUUAUCUCAUCACUGCCUCGCCCCCUGAAAAAAGAGUGGAGACAGACAAGCGUGACUAAUAUGUAUGCCCUGUAGAGGGCAAUAUUGUCUGCUGUGUUAG